UACGAAGGGGGCUAGCGUUGUUCGGAAUUACUGGGCGUAAAGCGCGCGCAGGCGGUCUUCCAAGUCAGUGGUGAAAGCCCGGAGCUCAACUCCGGAACUGCCAUUGAAACUGUUAGACUUGAGGACGAGAGAGGUGAGUGGAAUUCCCAGUGUAGAGGUGAAAUUCGUAGAUAUUGGGAAGAACACCGGUGGCGAAGGCGGCUCACUGGCUCGUAUCUGACGCUCAGGCGCGAUAGCGUGGGGAUCAAACAGG
rnacentral:rRNA from 1 species